AGAAGGACGGUCCCUGCCAUUACGAGAGGGCCCUGCAGUGCAGUGUUUCAGGAUGGGGCCACACAGCGCAUUGGAAAGCACAAAGGAGAGGAGCAAAUCCCAGCCUAGAGGGGGCAACAGGCAGAGGGAGCUUCCAGGAGGUAGAGAUGUCUAAACUAAGACCUCAAGGGUGGACAGGAGCAAGCCAAGUGAAAGGAUCUGGGAGGGCAGCGGAUGACAUUAGGAGCUGGGAGGAACUAGCUGGGGUGUUGCCUGAAGAAGUUGGGGGCAGGCAGGCCAGUGUACACAGGGCUCUGUGGGCCCAGCAAAGAGGAGUGACCAGAGGCAGGAUCUGGUGUGGGCUGGAGAAAGGCCUUGGCCUGCAGGUGGCACAGGCCAGGCUGGAGGCAGAGGGCUGUUUAGGAGACCAUCUCGGUUAUAAAGCAGGGAUGACAGAAGCUGGGCUCGGGAAACUGAUGGAGACAGAGACUUGGAAGACACAAGGCUUAAAGACUGAUGAAGGGGUAGAGGUGGCUAGUGAGAGAGAGAGAGACAGACAGACAUAGGGAGAGAGAUGGACAGAGACAGAGAAAAUGCGAGCCUGGGGAAACCAGGUGCACAGUGGUAGCUUGUGCAGAGGGAGAGGAUGGAAGAAGGGGGCAAAUUAUAGGCAGAAGAGGCCAUGUCCAUUUGCAAAGGUUGCGUGCAAGACCCUGGAGGCCCCUGAGGAAGAGAGAUGGAAGAUGUGGGUAUCUGGCCCAAAAGCAUGGAAGGAUCCCUGAAGAUCCAGCCACCGCCUAGUUAUGCUGUUUGUACAGGGGCCAUUGCAAGGGAGGAAACCAUCCUGCCACCGGGAACCAGGAAGACGGGUGAAAGGAGCUUUGGUAUGAACCAUGCCCGGUAACAGGGACUGUGCAGAGGAAGAAUCCCAGCUAGCCUAUGGAUGAAGAGCUCAGUGAAAGGAGGUAAGCCCAGUGCGGGCAGGGCUUCCCAGGGC
rnacentral:lncRNA from 1 species